rnacentral:rRNA from 2 species
UGGAGCUUGCUCCAUGAUUCAGCGGCGGACGGGUGAGUAAUGCCUAGGAAUCUGCCUGGUAGUGGGGGACAACGUUUCGAAAGGAACGCUAAUACCGCAUACGUCCUACGGGAGAAAGUGGGGGAUCUUCGGACCUCACGCUAUCAGAUGAGCCUAGGUCGGAUUAGCUAGUUGGUGAGGUAAAGGCUCACCAAGGCGACGAUCCGUAACUGGUCUGAGAGGAUGAUCAGUCACACUGGAACUGAGACACGGUCCAGACUCCUACGGGAGGCAGCAGUGGGGAAUAUUGGACAAUGGGCGAAAGCCUGAUCCAGCCAUGCCGCGUGUGUGAAGAAGGUCUUCGGAUUGUAAAGCACUUUAAGUUGGGAGGAAGGGCAGUAAGUUAAUACCUUGCUGUUUUGACGUUACCAACAGAAUAAGCACCGGCUAACUUCGUGCCAGCAGCCGCGGUAAUACGAAGGGUGCAAGCGUUAAUCGGAAUUACUGGGCGUAAAGCGCGCGUAGGUGGUUCGUUAAGUUGGAUGUGAAAGCCCCGGGCUCAACCUGGGAACUGCAUCCAAAACUGGCGAGCUAGAGUAUGGCAGAGGGUGGUGGAAUUUCCUGUGUAGCGGUGAAAUGCGUAGAUAUAGGAAGGAACACCAGUGGCGAAGGCGACCACCUGGGCUAAUACUGACACUGAGGUGCGAAAGCGUGGGGGAGCAAACAGGAUUAGAUACCCUGGUAGUCCACGCCGUAAACGAUGUCGACUAGCCGUUGGGAUCCUUGAGAUCUUAGUGGGC